GGUAGAGUGGCCGAGAGUUAGGCGGCAGGCUGUAGUCCUGCUAACAUGGGUAUAAGUUUUGAAUCUAUCA
rnacentral:tRNA from 1 species